CCUACGGGAGGCAGCAGUGGGGAAUAUUGGGCAAUGGAGGAAACUCUGACCCAGCGACGCCGCGUGCGGGAUGAAGGCCUUCGGGUUGUAAACCGCUUUCAGUAGGGAAGAAGCGAAAGUGACGGUACCUACAAAAGAAGCACCGGCUAACUAUGUGCCAGCAGCCGCGGUAAUACAUAGGGUGCAAGCGUUGUCCGGAAUUAUUGGGCGUAAAGAGCUCGUAGGUCGUUUGUUACGUCGGAUGUGAAAACCUGAGGCUCAACCUCAGGCCUGCAUUCGAUACGGGCAAACUAGAGUUUGGUAGGGGAGACUGGAAUUCCUGGUGUAGCGGUGGAAUGCGCAGAUAUCAGGAGGAACACCAAUGGCGAAGGCAGGUCUCUGGGCCAAUACUGACACUGAGGAGCGAAAGUCUGGGGAGCGAACAGGAUUAGAUACCCUGGUAGUCCAGACCGUAAACGGUGGGCACUAGUUGUGGGAACCUUCCACGGUUUCUGCGACGCAGCUAACGCAUUAAGUGCCCCGCCUGGGGAGUACGAUCGCAAGAUUAAAACUCAAAGGAAUUGACGGCUGAGACGNGCGACGACGACGACGAGGAGAG
rnacentral:rRNA from 1 species